rnacentral:rRNA from 1 species
UGGGGAAUAUUGGACAAUGGGCGAAAGUCUGAUCCAGCCAUGCCGCGUGUGUGAAGAAGGUCUUCGGAUUGUAAAGCACUUUAAGUUGGGAGGAAGGGCAGUAAGCGAAUACCUUGCUGUUUUGACGAUACCGACAGAAUAAGCACCGGCUAACUCUGUGCCAGCAGCCGCGGUAAUACAGAGGGUGCGAGCGUUAAUCGGAUUUACUGGGCGUAAAGCGUGCGUAGGCGGCUAAUUGAGUCGGAUGUGAAAUCCCCGAGCUUAACUUGGGAAUUGCAUUCGAUACUGGUUAGCUAGAGUGUGGGAGAGGAUGGUAGAAUUCCAGGUGUAGCGGUGAAAUGCGUAGAGAUCUGGAGGAAUACCGAUAGCGAAGGCAGCCAUCUGGCCUAACACUGACGCUGAGGUACGAAAGCAUGGGGAGCAAACAGG